GCCCUUAUAGCUCAGCUGGUAGAGCACUUGAUUUGUAAUCAAGGGGUCCCGGGUUCAAGUCCUGGUGGGGGCACCA
rnacentral:tRNA from 1 species